rnacentral:rRNA from 1 species
GACGAACGUUGGCGGCGUGCUUAAUACAUGCAAGUCAACUGAAGCAGUGGUAGCAAUAUCGCUGUGGAGGUGGCGCACGGGUGAGUAACACGUAGGUAAUCUGCCUUCAGGUCUGGCAUAACUCCGGGAAACCGGGGCUAAUAGCAGAUGAUGCAGCGGCUCGACAUCGAGACAGUUGUUAAAGCUAUGGCGCCUGAAGAUGAGCCUGCGUCUGAUUAGCUAGUUGGCGGGGUAACGGCCCACCAAGGCAACGAUCAGUAGCUGGUCUGAAAGGAUGAUCAGCCACACUGGAACUGAGACACGGUCCAGACUCCUACGGGAGGCAGCAGUAAGGAAUAUUGCUCAAUGGGAGAAAUCCUGAAGCAGCAACGCCGCGUGAGGGACGAAAGGCUUUUGCUUGUAAACCUCUGUAGUGAGAGAAAAAAAUCCCAAUCUUUGGGACAUGAUGGUAUCUCAAAAGUAAGCCCCGGCUAACUACGUG